GACGAACGCUGGCGGCAUGCCUAAUACAUGCAAGUCGAGCGGACAGAAGGGAGCUUGCUCCCAAAAGUCAGCGGCGGACGGGUGAGUAACACGUGGGCAACCUGCCCCUUAGAUUGGGAUAACUUCGGGAAACCGAAGCUAAUACCGAAUAAUACAAGGAACCUCCUGGUUCUCUGUUGAAAGAUGGCCUUUGUGCUGUCACUAAGGGAUGGGCCCGCGGCGCAUUAGCUAGUUGGUAAGGUAACGGCUUACCAAGGCGACGAUGCGUAGCCGACCUGAGAGGGAGAUCGGCCACACUGGGACUGAGACACGGCCCAGACUCCUACGGGAGGCAGCAGUAGGGAAUCUUCCGCAAUGGACGAAAGUCUGACGGAGCAAUGCCGCGUGGGUGAGGAAGGCCUUCGGGUCGUAAAGCUCUGUUGUGAGGGAAGAACAAGUACCGGCGUAACUACCGGUACCGUGACGGUACCUCACCAGAAAGCCACGGCUAACUACGUGCCAGCAGCCGCCGUAA
rnacentral:rRNA from 1 species